rnacentral:rRNA from 1 species
GAUGAACGCUAGCUACAGGCUUAACACAUGCAAGUCGCAGGGUAACAUGAGGAAAGCUUGCUUUCCUUGAUGACGACUGGCGCACGGGUGAGUAACGCGUAUCCAACCUUCCCAUAACUACGGGAUAACCCGUUGAAAGACGGCCUAAUACCGUAUGAUAUCGUUUGCUGACAUCAAAUAACGAUUAAAGGUUUAGCGGUUAUGGAUGGGGAUGCGUCUGAUUAGCUUGUUGGCGGGGUAACGGCCCACCAAGGCGACGAUCAGUAGGGGUUCUGAGAGGAAGGUCCCCCACAGUGGAACUGAGACACGGUCCAAACUCCUACGGGAGGCAGCAGUGAGGAAUAUUGGUCAAUGGGCGAGAGCCUGAACCAGCCAAGUAGCGUGCAGGACGACGGCCCUAUGGGUUGUAAACUGCUUUUAUGUGGGGAUAAAGUGCGUGACGUGUCAUGCAUUGCAGGUACCACAUGAAUAAGGACCGGCUAAUUCCGUGC